rfam:Raoultella ornithinolytica strain S12, complete genome.
GUAGAUGCUCAUUCCAUCUCUUAUGUUCGCCUUAGGGCCUCAUAAACUCAGGAAUGACGCAGAGCCGUUUACGGUGCUUAUCGUCCACUGACAGAUGUCGCCAUUAUCUGGUCUCAUCAAACACCAUGGACACGACGUUGAGUGAAGCACCCAAUUUGUUGUCAAACAGACCUGUUUUAACGCCCGCCCUGAUUAUCAGUGCGGGCGUUUUUUU